GCACCUGAAUCUUCCCCAUUCUUUGCUGUUUCGUGCUGAUGUGGGAUGUGGGGACAGAUGGUGCCACAGUAGGAGCAGAGGAAGUCCAGCCGGGUUGUUUUCCUUUUGUGUUGGGGUCCGUCUCUACAGCUCUGUUGCACUU